GGCAGUACCACCACCCUCCCCAGGAUGGGUGUGGUGUGGACUGUCACCAUGGACUGGCACUACUUGAUUUUUCGGUGGCCAUUGCAAUCUCUAAUAUGUGGGAGUCUGACUGUUCUAAGCUAACAUUAAAUAAAAGCUAAAUCCACAAAAUCCAUGUGAGGGACAGUUACUGAUUUUUAUACCCUUUGCCUCCUCCAUUCUUAUCUGCUAAGUCUUUAAAUCACUGCUCCUUUGUUUUACUUUCUAUCUGGAGUUGAGCCUGUGGAUUUUGCCCUCUGGCUUUUCUCUGGAAAUUUUCUUUUUCAUGGGUAACAGUGGGAGGAGACAAAAAGUUAAACAGAUUUAAAAAAAAAAUUCUGUAAGUGGCCUUAUCAUUGUAACAUGUUAAAAGAAAACAAACGUUUGCAAAGACCUUAUCCCUUUCAAUACUUCAGGUAUCUCUCUCUCUGUAUCCUGUAACUCAAGAUGUAAAUGCCACAUAUAUACAAGGAACUCCACAAUGCAGCAGUGUGGCAGAAACAGUCAGAGACGGAUAAUUUAUUAUACUCAGAACUGUGACUUUUUUUUUUCUGGGGAAGUGACUCAGCUUUUUUGAUGCAUAGUUGAGAUACCCACAUAUCAAGGCAGAGACCCCACAGGGCUCAGAAGAGCAGCAGUGCACUCCCGGGGAAUCUCUGGAUAUAAAUUUGCAUGGUGUAGUCAUAAUAGCUUUUGAGCUUUUUAUAUGCAUUUGGCACCGAGACUGGGAUCCACAACUUUAUAGACACUGCAAUGAAGUUACCAUAGUAGCUAGAUUCUAAGUAGUAUUUGUAAUUACACACACACAUACAUACAUACACACACACAUACACACACAUACACAAAUACAUACUGUAUUCUGUAAAAAAAAAAAA
rnacentral:lncRNA from 1 species